rnacentral:rRNA from 1 species
GUCCACGCCGUAAACGAUGUCUACUAGCCGUUGGGAGACUUGAUUUCUUAGUGGCGCAGCUAACGCAAUAAGUAGACCGCCUGGGGAGUACGGCCGCAAGGUUAAAACUCAAAUGAAUUGACGGGGGCCCGCACAAGCGGUGUAGCAUGUGGUUUAAUUCGAUGCAACGCGAAGAACCUUACCAGGUCUUGACAUCCAGAGAACUUUCCAGAGAUUGAUUGGUGCCUUCGGGAGCUCUGAGACAGGUGCUGCAUGGCUGUCGU